UAGGGAAUCUUCGGCAAUGGGGGGAACCCUGACCGAGCAACGCCGCGUGAGUGAAGAAGGUUUUCGGAUCGUAAAGCUCUGUUGUUAAGGAAGAACGAGUGUGAGAAUGGAAAGUUCAUGCUGUGACGGUACUUAACCAGAAAGGGACGGCUAACUACGUGCCAGCAGCCGCGGUAAUACGUAGGUCCCGAGCGUUGUCCGGAUUUAUUGGGCGUAAAGCGAGCGCAGGCGGUUAGAAAAGUCUGAAGUGAAAGGCAGUGGCUCAACCAUUGUAGGCUUUGGAAACUGUUUAACUUGAGUGCAGAAGGGGAGAGUGGAAUUCCAUGUGUAGCGGUGAAAUGCGUAGAUAUUAGGAGGAACACCGGUGGCGAAAGCGGCUCUCUGGUCUGUAACUGACGCUGAGGCUCGAAAGCGUGGGGAGCGAACAGG
rnacentral:rRNA from 1 species